rnacentral:rRNA from 1 species
UACAGAGGUCUCGAGCGUUAGGCGGAAUCCCUGGGCUUAAAGCGUGUGUAGGUGGAUCGUUAAGUACCUUGUGAAAUCCCACGGCUUAACCGUGGAACUGCUUGGUAUACUGGCGGUCUUGAGCCACUUAGGGGCUACCGGAACAAAUGGUGGAGCGGUGAAAUGCGUAGAUAUCAUUUGGAACGCCAAUGGUGAAAACAGGUAGCUGGGAGUGUGCUGACACUGAGACACGAAAGCCAGGGGAGCAAACGGG